rnacentral:misc_RNA from 1 species
GAUGAAGAACGUAGCGAAAUGCGAUAAGUAAUGUGAAUUGCAGAAUCCAGUGAAUCAUCGAAUCUUUGAACGCACAUUGCGCCCGCCAGCAUUCUGGCGGGCAUGCCUGUUCGAGCGUCAUUUCAACCCUCGACCUCCCUUUGGGAAGUCGGCGUUGGGGACCGGCAGCACACCGCCGGCCCUGAAAUGGAGUGGCGGCCCGUCCGCGGCGACCUCUGCGUAGUAAACCAACUCGCACCGGAACCCCGACGUGGCCACGCCGUAAAACACCCAACUUCUGAACGUUGACCUCGAAUCAGGUAGGACUACCCGCUGAACUUAAGCAUAUCAAUAAGCGGAGGA